ensembl:lincRNA Gm5432 predicted gene 5432
UGCGCCCGCCGGCGGCCAGGGCUGCUGCCGCCACUCCUGCAGUGCCCCCACUGGGGGCGCCAGCCUCGCCCCCGGAUGGCUCGGCCAGGCGCGAGCCCGCAGGCUCCAAAGCUUGCAGAAAUGGCUGUGGUUCACAGCUCAGGAGAGCUGACUCCAUAGAGGAAAGCGGGCCCACAAUGGGAGAAGAGGCGCUUUCUGCGGUGCGUGUCUAUCAUCCUGGCUGGAGACACAGGUCAUCUUCAAAGGCUGCAUGCAACUGUACUGAGGCUCACAUGAAAACAGAAACAGCAACAACAACAAAAACCUGCAGCAUCGAAGAACCAAACAUUAUGCCAGAAAAGACCUUUCUCACCCCAAAAUAACACCCAUAAAUUUGGGUUUUUAGAUCAUAGACAUAACUUGUUGAGUACCACCAUUAAUUUCAGAACAGUUUACACAACUUUAUGAGUUUCUUUAAAAGUAUAGAAACGAAAUCCUGGGACUUAGGGAUUCAGUUGGAACAGCCAGCUAUACAAAGGCUCUAGCUUAUCCUAGGAUUUAUGUAACGGAAGACAUAUCCAGAAUGGCCUUUCUGAAACACAAGUCAGAAUCCUUCCCAUCCCAGUGUAAAAAACCCUGAGUGCUGUGUCUUUCUUUGCUCCUCCCUGACAUUCCACUUGGGCUUUUUACUUCUUUGAGUCCACAAACUCAUCUCUUGCUUCUUGUACUCUGCACACUCCCCUCUCUCCGUUUCUAGUGCUCUUCCUUGCCCUCCUUCAUUGAAAUACUCUAUAUUUCUGGUAACUGCUUCUCCGUGAACUCAGAGUGUGACUGUGAUUGCCUGGGUACUUUCUUGUCUCCUUCUAGAUUGUGAGUUGAUUGAUAACUGGAUCUCAGGCCUCUGUCUCCAAGUCCAGACUGGACCUAACACAUACUAGGAAUUCAAUAUAUAUUUACUGCUAAAUGAGAACAAGUGGUCCUAACUUUCACAUGACAUUUCUCUGCACUUUUGGAGUCACUACCAAAUUUCUUAGUAUGCUAAUUUCAAUGAAAAUUCUGUUGAAAGACAAAAAGCCCAUGGUGCUUCCAACUGCACUAUAUUAAAAAUAUUUUUCCUCUUUAAAAAUGGGUGUUAUAUCUAUCUCAUUUGAAUGAAAUGUCAUAGCUUACAAAACACAUUUUCAGAUUUCAUAUCACAUGUCAGUCAAACAAGUUAGGCCAGGGCAUACAUUAAUAUCUUCAUUUUGUAGCUGACAACACAGACCUAGUUAGAUCAACUGACUUGCCCAAAGUCACCCUUGCAAACGCUCAGAGGUAAAGCAAACACCAUCUGACUCAAAACCAACAGAGUCUGGACUACUCCAGUUUAGAUCUCAAAUUGUCUAUUGCAAACCUACUUAGGAGUAUGAGGCUAAGGGGUCAGCUGAUCUAGGCUGAGCAUGGAAUAUGCAGUAGCAGAGACCUAACAACUGAAAGUAGAACUGAUGCUCCUGUACCUAACUGACAUACCACCUUUCCUUCUGUAAGAACCCAAGUGACAAGAAUAAAGCAAAUCACC